GGCGGACGGGUGAGUAACGCGUGGGAACAUGCCCAGAGGUACGGAACAACAGUUGGAAACGACUGCUAAUACCGUAUACGCCCUACGGGGGAAAGAAUUUCGCCUUUGGAUUGGCCCGCGUUGGAUUAGAUAGUUGGUGGGGUAACGGCCUACCAAGUCGACGAUCCAUAGCUGGUUUGAGAGGAUGAUCAGCCACACUGGGACUGAGACACGGCCCAGACUCCUACGGGAGGCAGCAGUGGGGAAUCUUAGACAAUGGGCGCAAGCCUGAUCUAGCCAUACCGCGUGAGUGACGAAGGCCCUAGGGUCGUAAAGCUCUUUCGCCAGGGAUGAUAAUGACAGUACCUGGUAAAGAAACCCCGGCUAACUCCGUGCCAGCAGCCGCGGUAAUACGGAGGGGGUUAGCGUUGUUCGGAAUUACUGGGCGUAAAGCGCACGUAGGCGGAUUUGUCAGUCAGGGGUGAAAUCCCGGGGCUCAACCCCGGAACUGCCUUUGAUACUGCAAGUCUAGAGAUCGAGAGAGGUGAGUGGAAUUCCGAGUGUAGAGGUGAAAUUCGUAGAUAUUCGGAGGAACA
rnacentral:rRNA from 1 species